GUGCAAAGUACCCUCCGAAAACCUAAGUGUGAGCCCCAGCUCGCCCCCCGUAUCUGGUUCAAAGGGACAAACUAUUUCAUCUCCCGAGCUUUCGAGAACUUCUCUCUAAAACAGCACUUUGAGUAGCAGCCCUGUUUGCUGCACAGAGCUGUUUUGAGGCUCAGUGAGAGAGACUAUAGGAAAUGUUCUAUCAACUGUAAAUCUACCCAUAACCAUGAGGAAUUAUCAUCACUGGACACAAACCCAUUUUGUUCCUGAUUGGCUAUGCACAUAAUUCAAAUUCUCCGAAAAUAGCUCAGCCUUCAUUUCCAGCUGUGAGGUAUGCAGCUUCUAAACAUGUCUGCUGAAACUUUGCCUCCCAACCUUUCGUCUUGAGGGUCUUCCCAGAGCUCCGGCACUCAGUUAACUCUUACAUUCCCAGCCAGCAGGGGGCCAGGCAUCCCUGAUUGGAUUUGGUUUAACCGGCUCAGCCAUUCUGCGUCUUGGUCACUAAAGUGCUUUCACAAAGACACAUACCAGAGUGGAGUCAAACGCAAACUUCGGUGAGAGAUGAGCUCUGGGAGGGAUCUGAUUGAACAAAUGAGAUAUGUAAACAGGACUCAGGAAGCUGCGGCUACAGACUUCUCUUCUGAGGCUUCAACUUUCUCCGUUUUGAAACACCAUGUUUGCUUUGCUGUGUGGUGAACGUCAGUGAAUUAACAAAGUACAUUGAGAUUUCUCAGCUGUGAAAAUAAAAUCAGAAGAGAAAGAAGAUAUGAAGUGGAACAAUGUGGUUGGGAAAUCCCCACGCCUUUACCCUUUAAAAAAAAGAAAGAAAGAAAAGAAAAAGAGACUGUCUUGAAGACUGGCCGUCAGCUAACAUCUGUGCUCGUCUUCCUCUACUUUUAUAUGUGGGAGACCUACCACAGCAUGGCUUGCCCAGCAGUGCCAUGUCCACACCUGGGAUCUGAACCGGCGAACCCUGGGCUGCCGAAGCGGAAC
rnacentral:lncRNA from 1 species